rnacentral:lncRNA from 12 species
AGUCUGUAAAUGUGAUCAUCAAGCAAGACGGAGCUGCCAAGAGGGAAGAUUUUGAAUGUUUCUCUCUCCUACAACCCUUCCCAGCGCCCCUCUUCCUUCCGGGGGUGCUUCCCUCUGUUUUCCCCUUUCCCCAGCACUGUUGAAAAUGGCUCCCAAGCAACACCUCGGUAGCUAAACCAAUUGUCCUGGGAAGUUGUUGAGCUGGCAUUUCAUCUGAGUCCUUUGUAAAAAUUAGAUUUUCUUUGAGUAGGGACGAGUGUCCUUUUGCGAGAGGGGACAAGGGAGAGUCCAAGCAGAGGGGGAGGGGAUGAGCAGUUUAUACACAUAUAUACUCUUUGUGUUCAAAGGCCUCCGUGUCUUGGCUUCUCACUAUGUUAAAUCCCUAUUAUAAAACUUAUCUUCACAAAGCCUAUUAUAGUAUUCUGAGAACAAAUUGGACCAUGAAUAACUUAGUUGGAAGUGUAGAUUAUUUUCUGCUCAGGGAAAGUUAGAGAUGACAACAGCUUAACUAAAAGAAUAGUGAUUAAUCUUAAAUAGAUGGAUUUCAAAGUUUCACUCUUGCUAAAGAGUACCUUUGAUAUUUCCCCUCUUCAGACUCAUGUUUCCACUUUCUUUGUAUUAAGAAUUGUCCCAGUGAUUGCACUGUCCACCUAAGACAGCAUGACUCUAACUGUAGACCUUUUUCUUACAGGUUGUUAAUCUGUCAGAGAGGUCUGCUUUUCCUCUGCAAGGAGCCAACAGAGCUUCUGUUUUCCACCUCCACUCUUUACCUUACCCCAGGGGACCCUGUUGAGCAGGGGUUGUGCAAACCAGAGGUCCAGUGCCUGCCUCUUCCUCUCAGUGUCCUGGAGCCCUGGCUCAUCUCCAGUGACUUGCGAGGCAACUGCAACACUGUCUCUCAGGAUGUCGAUUUUCUAGGCUGCCGGGAAGAAGCUCAGCUGAAAGUCCACACCUGUUUGUAGCUCUGAUUCAGAGGAAAGCCCAGUUCUAAAUCCGAGGGAAAGACAACUUCUCUGCAUGUUGAAGAGGAUUGUUGCUUUUUGGCACCCAGAGCAUUUUUACCUGAGGGUUCUGACAAUUUAAAUAAUUGGUACGCUAUGACUUUUAUGGCUGACAGAAGUGUGGUUUUGCUGAUGAGCUGUAAAAACAUGUAAGAAAUAGGCUUCAGGCUAAAGCUAUCUGGAAAGAGAGCGAGUGAGAGAGAGAGAGAGAGAGGAGGAAGGAAGACAGGCAGACAAAAUAAGUAAGGAAGCUAGCUCUCUCAUUUUAUUCCACGGACUUGUUUAAAACAUUUUAAUCAGAUUUCUUCCUUCGGGACAGCAGCUUAGCAAAUAUGGCCACAUUUCCAGAUGUUUGGUCCUUUUGGAGUUGUAUAAAACUCGGUUAAUGUGCACAGAAGAUUAUUCCAGCAUAAACUAAAACAAUGUCUCAGAGAAGUGUUUUUAUGAAAAAGAAUUGCUGAAAAAUAUCCCCUAUUAUUAACACUCAGCCUAUAGUUUUGACCAAAGCACUGAUUUGUGUAGUCCUCAAGAGGAAAUAUUAAUGGCAAUUGUAGCCUCUGCCUUCAUAGAGUAAACCAUUGGACAAUACUUUUUGGCCAACAUACAAAUGGAUCAUUGACUAAAAAUGAUGAAAAGUGAAGACUUCCUAAACUUUUCUUUCCCUCUUAAUCAUUUUGUGUAUUGGAGCUGAAAUAUCUUUCUGGGAGAUUUAUUUUUUUAGUUUUUUAAAAAUAUUUUAUUUAUCAAUGAGAGACACACAGAAAGAGGCAGAGACAAAGGCAGAGGGAGAAGCAGGCUCCCUGCAGGAGCCAGAUGUGGGACUCGAUCCCAAGACCCUAGGAUCAUGACCUCAGCUGAAGGCAGAUGCUCAACCACUGAGCCACCCAGAUGCCCCCUUUCUGGGAGAUUUAAAACUGAAAAUACAUGAGUUACAAAUUUAGCAGCUCUAACUUCUCUGCUAAGACAAUAUUUGGAUGAAACUCUUAUUUCUUGGGCAGAUCGCAUACUUGUUCCAUACUUGAGGAAAAUGAGUCAAGAUAAUGUCUUACAUUGAGGACGCUGGCAGUCACUGACGGAAGAACUUUUGGAGCUAAGCAGAAUUGCUUGAGUUGUCUUCAGCUUUAAAAAUGAUUUUGUUUUAACAUAUGCUAGCUGAAGCAAAAAAAUAAUACAGUAGAAGCUAUGCGUCUAUCAGAGUGACUGACAGAGUGAGAUUCUCUAGAAAAAUAGAUUAUUUUCCCUCAAAGAGAGUAAAGUUUUGGUUUUCAAAGUCAAUCAGAAAACUAAUAAUUUGGACAGGAGAGGAAUCAACUUCUCUUUUUGAGACAGUAUAUUUCUAAUGAUUUUUAUGGAGACUAUAAUAAGGAUCAAGAAACAAAAGCUUGAUAUGGACAUGUUUUUAGCUAGCAGAUUGAAAAGAAAUAAUGGCAUGAAAUAAAGUGGUAUUUUUUUUAUACUGACA